AUUUUGGUUAAUUUUUAUUAAUAUUUGUUAAUGUCUGUUAAUUUGGUAAUAUUUCUGUUAAUAUUUCUGUUAAUAUUUCUGUUAAUAUUUCUGUUAAUAUUUCUGUUAAUAUUUCUGUUAAUAUUUCUGUCAACUUACCUGCACAUAAAACAGAAAAAACUUUAUUUUUGACGGGGAUGCUUGCACAGGAGCAUUUUCCUGCAGGAUUUCUGAGAGAGGUCAUGAUUUAUGUCUGGAAUGAGAUUUGAGCUUCUGCAGCCUAGGCCUCCGAUACAGGCCUGAUGUCAGUUUCGAGGAGGCGCUUGUCUCUUCCAGGGCAGGCAGAAUUGUUGCUGGCAGCAGUUUUGCUCCAGGGUAAAUCCUGUGCCAUUCAGAACUAGAAGAUGUAGAAAGUCACUUGGCGCCACAGGCCUCGUUAUCCGACCUGUGCCCUUUUUCCCUGUAAAUCAAGCUCACCCUCCCUGUGUGUUGAUGUCUGUUCACUGGAGGCAUGCUGCUCUCCUAGGGCAGCAAGAGUUCCUGGUGUUGGCAGCUGUGGUCUGUGAGAAAUCAUUCACCAUUUGCAAUUUUGGAAACACAAUUCCUGUUUGGCCAGGGGAAAGACUGUUAAUUAUCUUGGAAAUGAAAGUCUGGCACCCCGUUUUUUAAGGGUCUGACAAAGGGCUGUGUAGGGGAGGGAACACCCCGCAGGACCUUUCUUCACCUCAUCCCCCACUCCUAGGUGUAGCAGCUCCCCAUGUGACCAGCUGCUUUCAGUGCAGCUACCUGGACACACCUGCACAGGGAGCUGCUAAUCCAGAGGGGCUAACAGGGGUAUCCCAAGUGUACCUCCAGGAACUAUGGUUUGGAACAUCCAGCAGGGACUGGGGAGCACCCGGACCCACCUGGGCACGGAGCAUCCCUUUGAGAAAAUGCCAAGGGAAGAGCCCUCUUGCCAAGGGGCAGCACCUGAGCAGGCCGGGCAUCAUGUGGGGUUCCACGGGAGAGCUUUCAACUUUCCCCUUUUAUUGUGCCAGCCCCUCCCUAGAACCCCCAGACCUUCCAAAGCACUCCCAGAAAAGAGGGGGGUUAUGAAGAGAGAAGGGGUUUAAAUUAUGGGAAAAAGCUUCCUUUUCCAUUAUUUCUUGUGUUCAAAUCAUGAGGGAAUGCACUUCCCUGGCAAUUUUAAUGGUCUCAGUUGAAAUAGUCCCUGCCUUUUCUAUGCUGUUAGGGGUGUUAAUUGACAGGGAAUCCCCAUUUUCCAUUAUUUUAAAAAGAAGUUUAAAUAAAAGGGGAAAACCUUGACAAUGUUUUUUAUGGGUUUGAAUUGAGGGUAACCCUUUUUGUUGUCCUAAGGCUUAAAUUGAAGGGUAAGCCCAGCUAUCCCUCUUUCUUAAAGAUUUGGAUUGAGGGGAACAUCCCUCUGUCUUCAUCACUGGAGAGAUUUAAAGUGAGGAAAACUUCUCUUUUCCCAAUAUUCUAGGGGAUUAAAUUAAAGAGCAGAAGCCAUUUAUUUGCCAUUGUAUCCAUUUCAGUGGAGGUAACUUCCCCAUUUCCUCAUUUUAAGUGAUUCACUUGAAGGAGGCUCUUCUAAAAUGCUUUUUCAGCAUUUUAAGGGUUUAAAACUACCUUUCAGGGCACUUCUUUCUGUGCCCUAGGACUAAGUAUCUCAGAGAAAGGCAAGCCUAGCAUGUAUUUAACCUUUAUGCUGCCCAGGAGCCUAGUUUUUUUCUUAUUUUCAUUUAUAAUGUAGUUAGCCCUAAUUAGUAGCCCCAAGGCAACUUAGACUGUUCAUAUAAUUAGUAUUCUUCUCCACCCUUAGUCUCAUGUUGAGUACUACUUAGUAGUCACUGCGGAAUAAUUAUAGAAGUUAACAGCAAAUUACCCAACUUAUCUAGAUAUACUGCCUAAAAACAAAGUUCUAUUUCUUACCAGUUUCCUCGCCCUUUUGCGCCAAGUAGCUGCAGCAAAAAAAAAAGUGCUGUUAUUUCCUUGAAGACUUUUCUUCUAUAUCAAGCCCUUUAUUCCCCUUGAAUUCAAACCAGAGGAACCAAACAGCUGGAGCUGCUCUGAGACCUUUUAUACCCGGCGCCCCCUCCCUUUUCCUGGGUGUCAUGGGAAUGAGAGGCGGACCCAAUCAGGGGUAUAUUAACCCCAGCCUUUGCCAAGGGGCUUCAUUCCCUCUCUGGGAUCAGCUGGGGUAAGAGCUCUCCUCUCAUUUUUGUGAAGAGGCUCUUUCAGCUUAGCUUGUUCUCUGCAGGUGCUUUUGGGCUUCUAAUGCAACAGAGGCUUUGAAGAUACUGUGAAGAAAACAAUGCUGAACACAGGGAGUAUUUAAAUUCAUUAUUUGGGUUUGUGCGUUCAGGGGUGGUAAAGUGCUUUUGUAAUUUCUUUUUUUUUUUUUUUUUAAUUCCUUUUUAAGAAGGAGUGCAACUUCCUGUAAUUCCAGGUUGUGUCAAGUACAACAUUUUUUCAGCAGAUUGAUCUGUCCCAAAAGGGAUCUGCCCUGUGUCAAAGACGAUGUCUGAGAUUGAGGCUUCAGCUAUACCUUAGACUCAGGGUGAAGCGGAAGACUUGAGGACUCAGGUGCACUCAGGAGAGGAUAAGCAGCUGACAAGCUAGGAUUUGUCCCACAUAACACUGAACUCAGCCAUUGAUUUUCCUGUUCUUUAUUCUAGCAGACUAAGAGGCUAACAGGCAAUCCCCUCCGAGGCAGACUAAUUUCAGGUCCAACAUGGAUUUGCAUCACCAGCCAUCCAAUACAUAAGUCAGGGCCACGGCCUGGGGAUGGGAAUAGUGGCCACCUUCUGCAAGAUAAGUUGAGGUCUACAACCCAAAGAGGGGAUGGAAGAGAGGUGCCAGGUUGGGACCCCUCAGGAGGGGUUUUGGAGAUGGGAAUGUCCAAGAAGUGUCUAUUCAUUGAUUGCCUGUCAGCACAAUGUUUAGUUAGCUGGGUUUAUAAUGAAGAUUAUAGAAACUGACAAAUAACUUUUAGGAACAUAAGACAAUUGUGGGCCUCCUCUGUUCUGAAAUCAGCUGAAGACAAGGAAUGGGAGUUCUACCAAGAGUUCAUUUGUCAUAUUUGCAUUGAAACGGUAGAAAGGCCAGAACGAGGAAGACUUCAUUUACUUCCACAUUUUGGGACUCAUCCCCAUGAAAGGGACCACUGACCCAUUUCAGGGAACAAACUUCAUGCUUAAUAGCUUUUGAAAUGAUUAGCAUAUGAAGCAAGGAAUGGGAUGUACCAAAAUGAAUAGGUAUUUGUAUUUUCGGUAUUCAGUACUUGUAUGGAUAAAAGGGCUCUUUAAUCACUUGCAAAGUGCGGUGUGUAUUUGGGAACUAUCCCACAUGCUGCUGGGUGUCGAAUAAACAUACACUUUCUAACUUCAAA